UACGUAGGGGGCAAGCGUUGUCCGGAAUUAUUGGGCGUAAAGAGCGUGUAGGCGGCUUUGCAAGUCCGUUGUGAAAACUCGAGGCUCAACCUCGAGACGCCGGUGGAAACUGCAAAGCUAGAGUCCGGAGGAGGAGAGUGGAAUUCCUGGUGUAGCGGUGAAAUGCGCAGAUAUCAGGAGGAACACCCGUGGCGAAAGCGGCCCUCUGGGACGGUACUGACGCUGAGACGCGAAAGCGUGGGGAGCAAACAGG
rnacentral:rRNA from 1 species